UACGGAGGGGGCAAGCGUUGUUCGGAGUUACUGGGCGUAAAGCGAGCGCAGGUGGUUUAAUGAGUCUGAUGUAAAAGGCAGUGGCUCAACCAUUGUGUGCAUUGGAAACUGUUAGACUUGAGUGCAGUAGAGGAGAGUGGAAUUCCAUGUGUAGCGGUGAAAUGCGUAGAUAUAUGGAGGAACACCGGUGGCGAAAGCGGCUCUCUGGCCUGUAACUGACACUGAGGCUCGAAAGCGUGGGGAGCAAACAGG
rnacentral:rRNA from 1 species